AUAAACUUUUGAUAUAUUUUUACAUUUCUUUUCAUAACCAGAAUAUGUAAGACCAAAAACCAGACUAAUUUCCAGAGAACCUGUUUGUGAUAAAUCUUUUAGCAAAUAUAAUUUAAACAUAAGGUCAUGUUCUUAUGCCGUCCAACAAAAUUAUUCAUAUAUUAUAAGCGUAAGAGCUGAGGCGCAUGAACUAUUAGCUUUAUCUCCUCCCGAAAGGUUAAUCAAUGACUCCCUCUCUCCACGUCUACAUAAACCCUCUUUUUCAUUUGGCCUUCCACUCAUAUGCAAACAAACAUAUAUAAAUAUAAAAUGAAGCCAC
rnacentral:lncRNA from 1 species